GGGCCGAAUCCGUAAUCCGCGCAACUAUUUGCGAGGCAGGACGACAGCCGCCAAAACACCCAACUCCUCCCCGCACCCGCCGGCGCAGUUCGAAUUUGAAAUCUCCGCUGGCGCCUACGUCAUCACGUACGUCGGGCGCGUGCGCAACUCUUCACACGCCGCUCUCGGUCGCAGGAAUUCUGCGUACUACUGGCGUCCCGCUGGCUCACUCAGCACCCCGGCGACUCUGGACACUCACCUUUAAGAAUUGAAUGACUUCCUGACUUGGAUGUGGACCUAGUGGCUAGAUUCAAAUAUGAAACAGGAGGUUGUGUGGAGGGCUCAGGAAAAUAGGAGGAUUCAACUGAGAUUCCAGAAACAAGAUCAUAUUUUAAUGCUCUUUUGCUCAAGUGGCUGAAAAUUUUGAAUUAUCAACCCUGAAAUUAAAAGUUUAUAUUAAAACAUUAUGUUUCCUUAACGUAUCAUGAAUGUCAAAUUCUUUUGUGUGUAUGUGUUAAGUUUAUAUAUUUGCACAUGAAAUCUACCUGUGCAUAUGAAGUAUAUUUUUAUUGAUAUGUUGGACGUUUAAGAAGUUAAUCUGAAAAGUUGGGUUUUACAUCUAAACCCUCAUUUCCAGAGAUUUUUGUUUUUGCUUUUUGCUUUUCUAUUUUAAAAGAAGAGAAUGUCUGUGGUGCACCAGCUGUCACCAGGAUGGUUACUAGAUCAUCUUUCUUUCAUUAACAACAUAAACUAUCAACUUCACCAACAUCAUGAGCCUUGUUGUGGUAAAAAUGAGCCUACUUCAUCUGUUCACUUUGAUUCUCUUCAAAUGGAUUCUUUGACCUCUUUUGGAACCUCUGCUACAUUUAAUGCUUUUGACUCUGCCACUCAGCCAGAUAAUGAUGACAGAGGAAAAUGUGAAAUCUCUAUACAGAAAUACGUUUUUCGAUCUGAGCUAUUUAAUGUCACCAAACCUUACAUAAUUUCAGCUGUUCACAAUGAAUGCCAACAGAGGAAUGAAAAGGAAUAUCCAGUGGAUGGUGUUAAAGAAGAAAACUGCCUUUCUAUUAUUGGGAAGAAGCGUAAAAGAUGUGUUGUUUUCAAUCAAGGUGAAUUGGAUGCAAUGGAAUACCAUACAAAGAUCAGGGGACUGAUUUUGGAUGGCUCUUCAGAGUUAAUCCAAGAAGGUUUCAAAAGUGGCUUUCUUCAUCCACUUUCUGAAAAAUGGGACAAGUGUAGUGAGCCUGUUACCUUACCACUUGAUACCUGCAAUUUGUCAGAAUUAUGUGCAAUGGCGAAGCAUUUGCCUUCUUUGAACGAAACGGAACUUCAGGCAUUACAAUUGAUGGAAGAAGAUAUAUCUGUUACAGAACAGGAUUUAUUUUCACGGGUUGUUGAAAACAACUCUAGCUUUACAAAAAUGAUUACUUUAAUGGGGCAGAAAUACCUGGUGCCACCCAAAAGCAGUUUUCUUUUGUCUGACAUUUCUUGUAUGCAUCCACUUCUAAACUGUAGGAAAACAUAUGAUGUAAUUGUGAUAGAUCCACCAUGGCAGAACAAAUCAGUUAAAAGAAGUAAUAGGUACAGUUAUUUAUCACCACUGCAAAUAAAGCAGAUACCUAUUCCUAAACUGGCUGCUCCAAACUGUCUUGUUAUUACUUGGGUGACCAAUAGACAAAAGCACCUACGUUUUGUAAAGGAAGAACUUUAUCCUUCUUGGUCUGUUGAUAUAGUUGCUGAGUGGCAUUGGGUAAAAAUCACCAAUUCAGGAGAGUUUGUGUUCCCACUAGAUUCUCCACACAAAAAGCCUUAUGAAGGUCUUAUAUUGGGGAGAGUUCGAGAAAAAACUAUACCAUUAAGGAAUGCAGGUAUAAAAGUGCUUCCCAUUCCAGAUCACAAGUUAAUUGUCAGUGUACCCUGUACUCUUCACUCACAUAAGCCACCGCUUGCUGAGGUUCUAAAAGACUAUGUCAAGCCAGAUGGGGAGUGUUUGGAAUUGUUUGCUCGAAAUUUACAGCCAGGUUGGACUAGUUGGGGCAAUGAAGUUCUCAAAUUUCAACACUUGGAUUAUUUUGUUGCUCUGGAGUCUAAAAGCUGACUUUGAUCAUAAAGUUGUGAUUUUCUUCAGUUUUUCCUCACCUCUUUUUCCUUCAUUCGAACUGAUUUUUCCUUUUCUUACCAACUAGUAUGCUUAGAAAUGUAAACAGGACUUGAUUUUUCUGCAAAGGACCAGAAGUGACAAGUCUUUAUGUAGUUUUGAGAUGAAUUUACUUCAGUUGCACUAGUAUUCCCCAUUAUUCCAGAUUCACUGCAAAUAAAGAGGGGAAAAGGAAGAAGUCCAACAUGUGAAGCAGUUUAUGUAGGAGGGAAGGAUCCCAUUCAACAGUGGCACAGACUCCUGCAAAAGAAACCGUUCAGGACAGAACUUGGAAGAAGACUAAAAAAACCAAGACAGGCAGAGAAGGCAAAUUCUGAGGGAGAGGACAGGGGCAGCUGAAGAAGAGGGAAUGGAGAAGCCUGAGGUGAUGGUACUCUGACUUAAGCCUCCUCUUUGGCCUCCUCACCAAAAUCCUCUUCUUCUUCUGCGAUGGCAUCCUGGUACUGCUGGUACUCAGAGACAAGGUCGUUCAUGUUGCUCUCAGCUUCGGUGAACUCCAUCUUGUCCAUGCCUUAACCUGCGUACCAGUGGAGGAAGGCCUUGCCCCGGAACAUGGCUGUGAACUGCUCUGAGAUGCGCUUGAAAAGCUCCUGGAUGGCCGUGCUAUUUCCAAUGAAGGUGACUGCCAUCUUGACUGCCAUCUUGAGGCCACAGGGCCACAGCGGACUUGGCAUUGUUGGGGAUCCAUUCCACGAAGUAACUACUAUUCUUGUUUUGCACAUUGAGCAUCUGCUCAUCUACCUCCUUCAUGGACAUCCACCCACGGAAGACAGCAGCCACAGUGAGGUAAUAGCCAUGGCGGGGGUCACAGGCAGCCAUCAUGUUCUUGGCAUCAAAGCCUUGCCUGGUGAGUUCAGGCACAGUGAGGGCCUGAUACUGCUGGCUUCCACGGCUGGUCAGAGGUGCAAAGCCAGGCAUGAAGAAGUGGAGACGUGGGAAGGGCACCAUGUUGACUGCCAGCUUGCGGAGGUCAGCAUUGAGCUGACCAGGGAUGCGGAAGCAGGUGGUGACACCACUCAUGGUGGCUGAGACAAGGUGGUUGAGGUCCCCAUAGGUUGGCGUGGUCAGCUUGAGGGUGCGGAAGCAGAUGUCAUACAGGGCCUCAUUUUCAAUGCAAUAGAUCUCAUCUGUGUUCUCUACCAACUGAUGGAUGGAGAGGGUGACAUUGUAGGGCUCAACCACUGUGUCAGACACUUUGGGGGAGGGCACCACACUGAAGGUGUUCAUGAUGCGGUCAAGGUACUCUUCUCGGAUCUUGCUGAUGAGCAGCGUGCCCAUGCCAGAACCCGUGCCCCUGCCCAGUGAGUGGGUCAGCUGGAAGCCCUGCAGGCAGUCACAGCUCUCAGCUUCCUUCUGCACCACAUCCAGGAUUGAGUCCACUAGCUCAGCCCCCUCUGUGUAGUGGCCCUUGGCCCAGUUGUUGCCAGCCCCAGACUGCCCAAAAACAAAGUUUUCUGGUCUGAAUAUCUGCCCUAAAGGACCUGAGCGAACAGAGUCCAUGGUCCCGGGUUCUAGAUCCACCAACAUAGGGCAAGGUACGUAUUUGCCACCUGUAGCUUCAUUGUAGUACAUGGAGAUACGAUCCAGCUGCAGGUCGUUGUCACCGUGGUAGGUUCUGGUGGGAUCGAUGCCGUGUUCAUCACUGAUGACCUCCCAGAACUUGGCACCUGUCUGGUCACCACAUUGACCGGCCUGGAUGUGCACAAUUUCCCUUAUUGUUAAAAUUUAUUUUAAUUCUUUUUGCUUCUCUCAAAGGUGUGUAUGGGGUGGAAAGUGAGAUGUGGUUUUUUCCUAUACUGCUAUUCGCAGGCUGGAAGGAUGGGAUGUGUCCAGAGGCUGGAGCAAUGAGGUCCGAGCACAGUGACAGGAACGUUCUCUGUAGAGCCAUCUUGUAUUGGGCUGGGAGAUGGUUUCUGAGAGCACAGAUAUAGUUGUUGAAGGAAUUAGAGGAUAUGCAUAUAGGGUAUGAGAGCAGGGAGGAGAAAGCCUCCAAACUGCCAGGCAUCUAAUGUGGAUGCUCUCCAGAUCAUGUUGUUCCUAUUCCCCCAUGUAUAGAUAAGUCAAUUAAAAAUGAUUUAAGGGACGCCUGGGCGGCUCAGUGGUUGAGCACCUGCCUUCAGCUCAGGUCGUGAUCCUGGGAUC